rnacentral:rRNA from 1 species
UACGUAGGAUGCAAGCGUUGUCCGGAAUUAUUGGGCGUAAAGAGCGCGCAGGCGGUAUGACAAGUCAGAUGUGAAAGAGGCCGGCUUAACCGGCAAGGGUCAUUUGAAACUGUCAGACUAGAGUGCAGCAGAGGAUAGUGGAAUUCCCGGUGUAGUGGUGAAAUGCGUAGAUAUCGGGAGGAACAUCAGUGGCGAAGGCGGCCUGCUGGGCUGUUGCUGACGCUGAGGCGCGACAGCGUGGGGAGCAAACAGG